GACGAACGCUGGCGGCGUGCUUAACACAUGCAAGUCGAACGGUGAAGCGCCUUCCUUUUUGGUGGGUGUGGGUGCGUGGCGAACGGGUGAGUAACACGUGAGUAACCUGCCCCCUUCUUCUGUGUAACCACAUGAAAGUGUGGCUAAUACGUGAUAUUCUGGGUCUGUGGCAUGUUGGUGCUGGGGAAGAUAUUGUUUCGGUGGGGGGGGGGGUGGCGGCCGAUUAUCUGGUUGGUGGGGUGGUGGCCUCCUAAGGAGGCGACGGGUGGCCGGCGUGCGGGGGUGGACGGCGACAACAGGACUGAGACGCGGCGCAGACUACUACGAGGGGCGGCAGCGGGGAAGAAUGCAGCAUGGGGGGAAGACUGCUGCAGCGACGCCGCGUGAUGGAGGGAGGCCGUCGUGGUGUGAACCUCUCUCGUCGGUGAAGAGGGAGUGCCUUGGUUGGGGGGGGGUUGACGGUAGCUGGAGAAGAAGCGCCGGCUAACUACGUG
rnacentral:rRNA from 1 species